rnacentral:rRNA from 1 species
GACGAACGCUGGCGGCGUGCCUAAUACAUGCAAGUAGAACGCACAGUUUAUACCGUAGCUUGCUACACCAUAAACUGUGAGCUGCGAACGGGUGAGUAACGCGUAGGUAACCUGCCUGGUAGCGGGGGAUAACUAUUGGAAACGAUAGCUAAUACCGCAUAAUAUUGAUUAUUGCAUGAUAAUUGAUUGAAAGAUGCUAUUGCAUCACUACCAGAUGGACCUGCGUUGUAUUAGCUAGUAGGUGAGGUAACGGCUCACCUAGGCGACGAUACAUAGCCGACCUGAGAGGGUGAUCGGCCACACUGGGACUGAGACACGGCCCAGACUCCUACGGGAGGCAGCAGUAGGGAAUCUUCGGCAAUGGACGAAAGUCUGACCGAGCAAUGCCGCGUGAGUGAAGAAGGUUGUCGGAUCGUAAAGCUCUGUUGUAAGAGAAGAACGGGUGUGAGAGUGGAAAGUUCACACUGUGACGGUAUCUUACCAGAAAGGGACGGCUAACUACGUG